UACACUCCUGCGGGAGGCAGCAGUGGGGAAUAUUGGACAAUGGGCGCAAGCCUGAUCCAGCCAUGCCGCGUGAGUGAUGAAGGCCCUAGGGUUGUAAAGCUCUUUCACCGGAGAAGAUAAUGACGGUAUCCGGAGAAGAAGCCCCGGCUAACUUCGUGCCAGCAGCCGCGGUAAUACGAAGGGGGCUAGCGUUGUUCGGAAUUACUGGGCGUAAAGCGCACGUAGGCGGAUCGAUCAGUCAGGGGUGAAAUCCCAGGGCUCAACCCUGGAACUGCCUUUGAUACUGUCGAUCUGGAGUAUGGAAGAGGUGAGUGGAAUUCCGAGUGUAGAGGUGAAAUUCGUAGAUAUUCGGAGGAACACCAGUGGCGAAGGCGGCUCACUGGUCCAUUACUGACGCUGAGGUGCGAAAGCGUGGGGAGCAAACAGGAUUAGAAACCCCUGUAGUCCCAUG
rnacentral:rRNA from 1 species